rnacentral:rRNA from 1 species
AAUAGAUACCCGGGUAGUCCACGCCGUAAACGAUGAGUGCUAAGUGUUAGAGGGUUUCCGCCCUUUAGUGCUGCAGCUAACGCAUUAAGCACUCCGCCUGGGGAGUACGGCCGCAAGGCUGAAACUCAAAGGAAUUGACGGGGGCCCGCACAAGCGGUGGAGCAUGUGGUUUAAUUCGAGGCAACGCGAAGAACCUUACCAGGUCUUGACAUCCUCUGCCAACCCUAGAGAUAGGGCGUUCCCCUUCGGGGGACAGAGUGACAGGUGGUGCAUGGUUGUCGUCAGCUCGUGUCGUGAGAUGUUGGGUUAAGUCCCGCAACGAGCGCAACCCUUGAUCUUAGUUGCCAGCAUUCAGUUGGGCACUCUAAGGUGACUGCCGGUGACAAACCGGAGGAAGGUGGGGAUGACGUCAAAUCAUCAUGCCCCUUAUGACCUGGGCUACACACGUGCUACAAUGGAUGGUACAAAGAGCUGCGAACCCGCGAGGGUAAGCCAAUCUCAUAAAGCCAUUCUCAGUUCGGA